rnacentral:rRNA from 1 species
GACGAACGCUGGCGGCGUGCUUAACACAUGCAAGUCGAGCGGAGCGGCGAACGGGUGAGUAACGCGUGAGUAACUGCCCCCCUCUCUGGGAUAACAGUUGGAAACGGCUGCUAAUACCGGAUAGUGGGGGAUGACUCGGGGCCUAUCAGCUUGUUGGUGGGGUAGUGGCCUACCAAGGCGACGACGGAUAGCCGGCCUGAGAGGGCGACCGGCCACAAUGGUCUAAGGUACGCAGCAAACGCGUACAGGAGGCAGCGGUGGGAAAUAUUACGCAGUGGGGGAAACCCUGAUGCAGCAGCGCCGCGUGCGGAAUGACGGCCUUCGGGUUGUAAACCGCUUGCAGCCAUGACGCGGUAGUGGCAGAAGAAGCACCGGCUAACUACGUGCCAGCAGCCGCGGUAAUAC